rnacentral:rRNA from 1 species
AUUGAACGCUGGCGGCAGGCCUAACACAUGCAAGUCGAGCGGAUGAAAGGGGCUUGCUCCUGGAUUCAGCGGCGGACGGGUGAGUAAUACGCAGGAAUCUACCUAGUAGUGGGGGAUAACGGUUUCGAAAGGGGCGCGUAAUACCGCAUACGUUCUGAGGAAGAAAGCAGGGGAUCGCAAGACCUUGCGCUAUUAGAUGAGCUUGCGUCCGAUUAGCUAGUUGGUGGGUAAAGGCCGUACCAGGGCGACGAUCGGUAACUGGUCUGAGAGGAUGAUCAGUCACACUGGAACUGAGACACGGUCCAGACUCCUACGGGAGGCAGCAGUGGGGAAUAUUGGACAAUGGGGGCAACCCGUGAUCCAGCCAUGCCGCGUGUGUGAAGAAGGGCC